AUUCUUAGGCCGAAAUCCUGUCACCUUAGGUCGAUCGGUACCUCAGCUUUGAAGUCAAGGAUCAGCAGCAAUGUUGAUUGCUUGAUGGAGAUUUUCAGUUCCUAAACUUUGUCUAGGUCACACCCCAAAAGGGAUGAGACUCCUGGGCCAUUAGCUCAGGUGGUUAGAGCGCACCCCUGAUAAGGGUGAGGUCCCUGGUUCAAGUCCAGGAUGGCCCAUUCGGUGUUGGGGGUUUAGCUCAGUUGGUAGAGCGCCUGCUUUGCAAGCAGGAUGUCAGCGGUUCGAGUCCGCUUACCUCCACUGAUUACCACCUCUUCCAUAAUCGGUAGAAAGGAAAUGUUUUGAGUUGUGAUCAAAUUCUGAACGAAUCUAGCUUCCUAAUGAAAUUAUUAAGAUGCUGGACUCAUUGAAUUAAUUUCAUUGUUUUCAGAGAACCUUGACAACUGCAUAGAUUAUUUUUAAAGACAAUAAGCAUCUUUAAUGAUGCAGAUUUAUUAUUUGUGCGAAUGCAUUAAUAACAAUUCUAUUAAGCUGAUGCUUCAAUUUUUGAAGUUAUU
rnacentral:tRNA from 1 species